ACCUUGAAAACAUUAUACUAAUUGAAAUGAGCCAGUCACACAAAGACAAAUCGUGUAUGAUUUCUCUUACAUUAGGUUCGAAAUUAGUCAAACUUAUAGAAACAGAAAAUAGAACGGUCGUUUCCGGAAGCCAGGGGAGAGAGAAAUGGAGUUGUUGGAUAGUGGGUAUAGUUUCAGAUCUCCAAGAGGAGCAAGUUCUAGAAACUCAUUACUCAACAGCAUGUAUACACUUAACACUACUGCACUGUAUACCUACAAAUGGUUAAUACGGUAAAUUUUAUGUUGUGCGUUAUCACCAUAAUAUUUACAAAAUAAGGGGCUUGUGUUUCCCUUCGUUGUGAUCUCCCAUUUUUCACUUCAGCAUUUUGAACUUUAGGUUUCCUGUAGCUAUUUUACUGAGCCCUGGAGUUACCGGCUGAGAAUGUCUCCACCACCUUGUAACCUUGUAGGCAGACACUUCUCAGCAUCUUAUUGGGCUCCUUGUGCUUGACGCUUAAAGUGACAUGGAGACAUGCCACUUGCUGAGAGGCCAAGCAAGGCAAAAUGUGACUGCCUUCCUGGCAUCGAUGAAGGCAGAGAGAAGGGAUCUUGGAGGCACAGAUGUUAAGGCAUAAACAAUAACAAGGGUUGCCAGCAAAAGAACUAAUCCCUCUCCUGGUAACAUUUGCAGGUGUUUUUCACACGGCCAGUGGAUUUCAUAAUGUGAGCGCUGUCCAGCACCAAAGGGAAUGGCCAACAGGCAUGGAGCAGCCUGCAGCGUCCAGCACCCAGGAGGACGGCCAGCAGGUAGGGAGCAGCCUUCAGCGUCCAGCACCCAGGAGGACGGCCAGCAGGUAGGGAGCAGCCUUCAGCGUCCAGCACCCAGGAGGAUGGGCAGCAGGCACGGAGCAGCCUUCAGCGUCCAGCACCCAGGGGGAUGGCCAGCAGGUAGGGAGCAGCCUUCAGCGUCCAGCACCCAGGAGGAUGGCCAGCAGGCACGGAGCAGCCUGCCUGUCCCAGGAAAGCAGGAGUCACAGGACACAGCUGGACCCAGGUAGGCAUGUAUAUUAGUUUUCUGUGGCUGUUAGAGCAAAUUACCAAAACUUUGGUGACUCAAAACAACAGAAAUUUAUUUUCUCACAGUUGUGGAUACCAGAAGUCCAAAAUCAGUAUCACUGGGCUGAAAUCUAGGUAUCGGCAGAGCCAGUGCUCUCAGAGGCUAAGGAGAAAAAUGCAUCCUGGCCGGGCGCGGUGGCUCAAGCCUGUAAUCCCAGCACUUUGGGAGGCCGAGACGGGCGGAUCACGAGGUCAAGAGAUCGAGACCAUCCUGGCGAACAUGGUGAAACCCCGUCUCUACUAAAAAAAAUACAAAAAACUAGCCGGGCGAGGCGGCGGGCGCCUGUAGUCCUAGCUACUCGGGAAGCUGAGGCAGGAGAAUGGCGUAAAUCCGGGGGGCGGAGCUUGCAGUGAGCUGAGAUCCGGCCACUGCACUCUAGCCCGGGCGACAGAGCCAGACUCCGUCUCAAAAAAAAAAAAAAAAAAAAAAA
rnacentral:lncRNA from 1 species